rnacentral:rRNA from 1 species
GACGAACGCUGGCGGCGUGCUUAACACAUGCAAGUCGAACGGUGAACUCCGCUUGCGGGGGGAUCAGUGGCGAACGGGUGAGUAACACGUGGGCAACCUGCCCUCAGCUCUGGGAUAACUCCAAGAAAUUGGGGCUAAUACCGGAUAUGACCGCUGACCGCAUGGUCUGGUGGUGGAAAGAUUUAUCGGCUGGGGAUGGGCCCGCGGCCUAUCAGCUUGUUGGUGGGGUAGUGGCCUACCAAGGCGACGACGGGUAGCCGGCCUGAGAGGGUGACCGGCCGCACUGGGACUGAGACACGGCCCAGACUCCUACGGGAGGCAGCAGUGGGGAAUAUUGCGCAAUGGGCGAAAGCCUGACGCAGCGACGCCGCGUGGGGGAUGACGGCCUUCGGGUUGUAAACCUCUUUCAGCAGGGACGAAGCGAAAGUGACGGUACCUGCAGAAGAAGCACCGGCCAACUACGUG